AUUGAACGCUGGCGGCAGGCCUAACACAUGCAAGUCGAACGAGUGGCGGAGGGGAGAGUAAUGUCUGGGAACCUGCCUGAUGGAGGGGGCUAACUACUGGAAACGGUAGCUAAUACCGCAUACCAUCAGAUGUGCCCAGAUGGGAUUAGCUGGGUGGUGGGGUAACGGCUCACCAAGGCGACGAUCCCUAGCUGGUCUGCGAGGAUGACAGGCCACACUGGACAUGAGACACGGUCCAGACUCCGCCGGGAGGCAGCAGUGGGGAAUAUGGCACAAUGGGCGAAAGCCUGAUGCAGCCAUGCCGCGUGUAUGAAGAAGGCCUUCGGGUUGUAAAGUACUUUCAGCGGGGAGGCGUUACCCGCAGAAGAAGCCCCGGCUAACUCCGUGCCAGCAGCCGCGGUAAUAC
rnacentral:rRNA from 1 species